ACUGUGGACGAGCAGCUUGAGCAAACAACAGUGUGAGAACAGUCGCUCAGACAGACUCUUGCAUACUUACUCACCCGUGGUUAGGGCAGACCUCGUCAGCCAAAAAGGAAAGAAAAUAUGUAUUUAUUAUAACCUUUGAUCCCUUGGCUUUUCAUCUAGCGCCAUCAAGUCAGGAGUGAUAAAACUGUUCACUGUUCGGCCCCAGAUGGUGCUCAAGCACCUGCCCUUUGGGACCUCUGACUACAGGGUGCCUUUUUGCAAGACACUUUUCUUUUUAUGUCUUUUUCUAAAUGUAGAGUAUUGAUGAGCAUCUAACUCAGCAACAACCACUUUAGUGGUGGUAAAAAGAGGGAUAAUAACACACUGCUUAAAGGAAUUCGGCUCUGGAAAUCGUCAUCUCCUGACUUACAGGCCAACUGAAGACAUGGGUGAAUUACAAGGAAACGUGGCCCUGGGCAACGACAUGCAAAAGGCCCCACCUUUUGUCCUCCAUAGCAUGACAUUCUGCAGGAGACAGACAGAGGGCCCCUGAGUCUGCACUCAGGAUCAGAGGAUGUGUGUCAGUGAUGUCACGGACAGAAGAGAAGGAAAGCGCAACGCCCUGGUGAUAUGCAAACACUCCUACCUGAGAGUCUGUGCAGCCAGCUGGCCCUCAUCUUCACACACAUCUUCAACAGAUUACUGAGGAUGUGGGAAGUGCCCUGCUG